AGUGAACGCUGGCGGUAGGCCUAACACAUGCAAGUCGAACGGCAGCACAGUAAGAGCUUGCUCUUACGGGUGGCGAGUGGCGGACGGGUGAGGAAUACAUCGGAAUCUACUUUUUCGUGGGGGAUAACGUAGGGAAACUUACGCUAAUACCGCAUACGACCUACGGGUGAAAGCAGGGGAUCUUCGGACCUUGCGCGAUUGAAUGAGCCGAUGUCGGAUUAGCUAGUUGGCGGGGUAAAGGCCCACCAAGGCGACGAUCCGUAGCUGGUCUGAGAGGAUGAUCAGCCACGCUGGACCUGAGACACGGUCCAGACUCCUACGGGAGGCAGCAGUGGGGAAUAUUGGCCAAUGGGCGCAAGCCUGAUCCAGCCAUACCGCGUGGGUGAAGAAGGCCUUCGGGUUGUAAAGCCCUUUUGUUGGGAAAGAAAAGCAGCAGGUUAAGACCCCGCUGUUCUGACGGUACCCAAAGAAUAAGCACCGGCUAACUUCGU
rnacentral:rRNA from 1 species